AUCGCUUCUCGGCCUUAUGGCUAAGAUCAAGUGUAGUAUCUGUUCUUAUCAGUUUAAACACUGAUAUGUCCUCUAUUUGAGGACUAUGUAUUAAACAGAUUUAUGGAACUAGGAGAUGGACUAGGGGCUUGCUCCAUCCACUCCAUGCAUCAGCCUGGUAUUGCAGUGUUUCCAGGAAUGGUGCACCUCCC